rnacentral:rRNA from 1 species
CCUACGGGAGGCAGCAGUGGGGAAUAUUGCACAAUGGGGGAAACCCUGAUGCAGCGACGCCGCGUGAGCGAAGAAGUAUUUCGGUAUGUAAAGCUCUAUCAGCAGGGAAGAAAAUGACGGUACCUGAGUACGAAGCUCCGGCUAAAUACGUGCCAGCAGCCGCGGUAAUACGUAUGGAGCAAGCGUUAUCCGGAUUUACUGGGCGUAAAGGGAGCGUAGGCGGCCUGCCAAGUCUGAUGUGAAAUACCGGGGCUCAACCCCGGGGCUGCAGUGGAAACUGGCAGGCUGGAGUGCAGGAGAGGCAGGCGGAAUUCCUGGUGUAGCGGUGAAAUGCGUAGAUAUUAGGAGGAACACCAGUGGCGAAGGCGGCCUGCUGGACGGUGACUGACGCUGAGGCUCGAAAGCGUGGGGAGCAAACAGGAUUAGAUACCCUUGUAGUC